rnacentral:lncRNA from 1 species
AUUUUUCCCCAAUCUGAAGUUCUGCCAGCUGCAGCAUCUAAUCAUCCCUGGCUGUGCCUGUUAAGUAUUUAAAGGCAUUUCUGAUGCUAGCUGCAUCUGCCCAUAGUACCAGCAACAUGCACUGCCUCAACCAUGAUCACUAUACAGGCCCAGCCUGUCCUUGCAAGGAUGUUGGGUGGAUCAGGAUGUUGAGUGCCCACAGCUUUGAGUUGUGUCAAUAUGAAAUGAUGCUUUGUACUGUUCUCUGCUGUACCAAAUGCAG